ACUGCAGCACCAACUGAACUGUCAAUCAACCGAGGACCCAUCACAGUUAGACCUCAUAGGGACACAUUUGACUUCCUGCCUGUCCCCGUCAUUCUUCAAAGCAAAGGACGAGAAAACACCUGCCUGUCUUUGCCUCACUUCCUGUCUGGCUCUGAGAUUCUGGAUCAGCUCAUACCGACCAGGACAUCCUGCCACCACUGCAGCAGCAGAGCAGAUGUUGAAGCACCGUGUUAACUGUUCAUCAUCAGUGGACACUUGCUGGACCACAGAGACACGUGUUCCCCCUGCCAGUGUUGAGGUUUCUUCACAACAGAUAAUAAGGUCUUCCUCCUUUGUGAUUCCUCCACUUCACAGUGAAGACACUCAGGACUGCAGAGAGCUGAACACAUAAAAGAAGCUGAACAUCAUGCAGUGUAUUCAGUUUCACUGGACUACAUGUUGAUCUGCUCUGCAGCAGAGUUCAAGGAUCAGGUGUGUGACUGCAAGGAAGAGUCAUCCGUCAGUCAUCACUGUCCCAGUGACAGCCCCACCUUUAUGCAGCUUCAAGCUCCUCCCUAAACCAGCUGUAAAGGCCUCUCCUCCUCCAUGUAGCUAUAGUAACACUAUCCUGACGUGAUGACUGGAGCAGUGGAUCUACAGCCGCUGCACAGGUCAAAGGUCAUAAUGUUACAAGUCUUCAAAGCAUACACUACUAACUCAUGAACAGUAUUACUACAGGACACCUGUCUAUUUUGUUUGUUUAAUCUCUACCGUAUUUGAUCUAACAAUAUACGUUUUCCUUAUGUUUCAUCGCAUUUUUUUUUGUUGAUUGUAUUUAUUUAUGUAUUUAUUAUUUAUUUGUCAUCCGUCCCUUUUCAGUCAGA